AUGUUGAGCAAAAAGGGAAAAUCUUCCGAAAGUGUCCGGGCCCAGCUUUGCCUGGUUUUGGCCGCCCUGCGGGAUGCUGAGCGCCGUGCGGUACCUGGCUCCCGCGUUGCCAUGGGAACCCCGGUCCCAAGCUCAGCCGGACGAGCGGCAAAAUCUGCUCUCGGUUUCCUCUGCCGCAGGCGCUCGUUUCCGGAGCGGCUCUCUGGUCUCCUGCCUGCAGCGCCGGCUCCUCCGGGAAAGGCCGUGCGGGGCCAUGCCGGGGGGCUCUGCCAGCCCGCAGGGAGAUUUUGGUGCCAAACGCAGCCUUUGGGCCCCCGUGGUGACCCCGAGGCRGUCGGGUGGCCUCGGUGGCGCCUCGCUGCUCCCCGGUGGGGCUGCGGCUGGAGGGGCCGGGGGCACCGGCACGGCCUGGACUCGGCCCCAGCAGAUGGGGAGGCCGAAGAGCAGCAAAACGUGGCUCCGUGCUGCCUCGCAAGCUGCUGGAGGACACAAGCUGGGGGCGUGCGGUCGCCAGCUCGGGGCGCCUGGACGAGCCACGAAGCGCCGGUGAGGGGCGUCGAGCUCCCGGCUCCACCGCCGAGGCCGGGCCCCCCUCGCCGCCCGGCCCGCGAUUCCCCCUCGGGAAGCAGUUUCCGUCGAGGAGAUGGCCUGAGCACCGCGGCGAAUCGCCCCUUUGCGAGGAAUCCUGCACGGGACGAUGAAAGGCGAGCGGCGGCCGCAGGUGCCGGCGGCUCUGCUCCCCGGCGCGCCCGGGCUCCGGCUCGGUGCUCGGCGCGUGCCGGCGGCUCAGUUUGCAGCGGAUCUAAUUACCGACGGUGUCGGCAGAGAUGGGGCAGCGGUGGCAGCCCGCGUGCAAUCGCAGGGCUGCGAUCGUGCUGGCUCCCCYCUUCCUGCCCGCUGCCGGGAAGGCUUAUUCCCCGCCGCUUACUUCCGCCGGCAAAUUGCGAACGCAUCUCGGAGACCACCGGAGUUUUUUUUCUUUUUUUAAAAAAACACACAAAAAGCCGCCUGGCAGCUCUCUGCCUCGGUGUCGCCGUGCGCCAGCUCCGCAGGGCUGCGAUUCCCGCGCGGAGGGAGCCCGCACGGAUUGAUUUCACGACCCAGGCAAGGCCGGGAAAUCGGCAUUUAUCGCUGCCUGGUGCYGGAGCUGUUAAUUUUUUGCAGUCUAUAGCUGAAAACUCUCAGCACGGCUCCUUCUGA
rnacentral:lncRNA from 1 species